UGUGCUCCCACAGAGCAGCACAGGAGAGGGCGCAGAGAGAGCAGUUGGCAGGAGCGCAGCUGUGGCUGGGUGUGAGUUUCUGGGGGGAUUUUUAUAGGGGGAAAGCUGAUGAGUAAUAAACAAGGUGCUGCCUGAUUCUUGUUUGGAGGAAAAAGGGGGAGGGAGAGAGGAACGCAGGGAAAGGGAGAAGCACAGGGAAGAGGAGAAGGAGAAAGAAAUGACCUUGGUGAGCUUUUCUGGCUGCUCUCCAGGUUGAAGGCUGAUGCCAAAAAAAUCUCCGAGUCCCUUUUGGCUGGAAGUACUCUCCCUGCGUUAGGUGAAUCACACACACAUUUCUGGAACAUUACAUGUUCACAAUUGCAAAGCUCGCAGUAAUUAGAAAAACUACAAGACCAAGGCAGGGGGAAAACUAUGAGUCACACAUGGAAGCGGUGUGAUUGUGCUGCAGGAGGAUCAGCCUCGCAGACUGCCUAAGGAAAGGAAAAGAAAUUGGUGCCGAAUUGCAGACCCUAAUAAAAGCCCUGUUCUUGGGAGUGAUUCAUUAACUUUACUAGGAGCGCGUUUAAAAAAUAAUUUAAGAAAAGAAAGAAAAAAAAGAAAAAAGGGCCAAGAUUUCCUGUGCCUGCCUGUAAUAUUAAACCUGCUUAAGCUACAAGGAGACGCCUGUGGAUGUAAUUGCACGUUUCCAAAAGCCUGCGUCCGCACAGCCGACUCCAAACGGCCUCCGAAGCUCCAGCGGUUUCCCCAGCUGCAGAAGGGGCAGGAAAGGGGGGAAGAAUCUGAUGGGCAGGCAAUUCUGUCCCUUUUUAUUUUCCCGGUGUGUGCGUAGGACAUAAAGCCAUUCCUUCACCCGCCACUCUCUUUCCUGGAUGAGGAUUAAAACAAGAAAUGGCCACAGCCCAUCUGCUCGGCGGUCUCGGCACACAGGCUGCCUGCUACAGCUGAAGUUCUUCCCCUCAAGCGCUGCCACCUGGGGCUGCUGCAGUUUGUUGGACAUCCCUAUCCUGGGUUAAUGAGAGCAGAGCAAUUAAGAGGCUGUGAUGGCUAUGGAUGUGGGUCUCCGGUCAGGUCUCAGUUCCCAGUUGGAGCUGAGUGAUUCCCUUCUGGUGGGGGAGGAAUGUUUCAACAAAACUUGCCUUUUUCUUUUUUUUUUUUUUUUUUUUUUUUUUUUUUGGAAAAUGCUGAUGCAUGGAAAUCAAAACCUUUUGUGGAAACACAGUGUUUCAAAUGAAAAUUUAGUUAGGGAGGAUUUCCUCGAGUCCAAGAUGGAAUUUCUCAUCAAAACAGGGGAGAAAGGCUCCAAAACACUCUCUUCCCUAUUCCCAGGCCCUCCAGAGCUGCCACCACUGCUGUCCCCACCUUGUCCUGGCACACAGGGAUGGGGAUGCAUCCUGGUUGUGCUGGGCCUCCUCCGUGUACUGCCCAGCUUCCACCUGGCUGCACAACAGAACUCAGCCAAAUCACUGGAGGGGAAAAAGAAGCUGUUGACACCCCACAGUCAGCGAUGAGAGAGAUAAAUAGAUCUCUUCCCAUGAGAAGUGGGAUAGAAAGCAAGAGGUUAGCAGGUGUGGUGCUGCGUCACUUCUGUUCAUGUGAUCACACCCAAAAGAUGAGAGGCACACCAACCAUUUGGUUCUCCCCUUACCCUGGCUGCCAUCUCAUCCCAUCACAUCUCCCCGCUGAGCCCCACAGCUGUCUGUGCUGUACCAUCACCCCGUGUGUCCCCACCUGCUCCUGUAACCCCCACAUGCACCGCUGGCCCUGGGAUCCUUCUAUGGGAACACUCCGAUUCCAUCUCAUUUGGGGCAGAUUCCCACAGAAUCAAAGUGUGUAUCUCUGCAAGCAAAGCUGCUUCUUGGAAGAUGUUGAGCAUCUGCUCCACGUCAUGGAAGAGCAAGAGCUUCUCAAGAGGAUAAAAUAAAUAUAAUUGGAAAUUGAGUUGUUUUCUUUUUUUAAUAGCAGUACAUGGUGUUUUCUUGUACCCUUGCUCUCAGCCAUGGCUGUACCAUGUGGACUGGAUUGUUUCCUCAGCUUCUGCCCGAGGCAGACACCAAACAUGGGAAAUUUCAGCCCGAUUGAUUUGAGUCUGGCAAAGUUCUGCUCAAGUGACUGCAGAGCCUCCUGAUGGGAAGUGUCAGGAAAACUUCAUCUUAAGUGGUGGUACCACAGAAAAGAUUGUGCUCUAACCCCUGGAAAGUUGGCAUGGCAGCACAGCAUGUUCUUCCCCCAUCGCCACACACCCUCCUUCACAUUUCUGCCUUGCAGAAUUUGUGCCUUUUUGUUGCAUUGUUUCACUCAUUUUCUCUUUUUUUUUUUUUUUUCUUUUUCUUUUUCUUUUUUCCUGUUUGGGUUUCUGGCUCUUAUGGCUGCUUGGCUGGAGAGAGGCAUGCCAAGGUUUAGAUGACAAAUCGUCCUGCAGCAUCUGCUAGCAACUGAUAAGACAGAGACUGAUAAAGCCCCAUUUGCUGCUCCCACUGGACAGGGGGAAGACACCGCUGGCUGGGGAGGGGGGGACCUUCCCACCCUCAGAAUCCAGAAGCCUCACAUUGAGGAGCCAAGGCUGAUCUCCAGCCAAGUGCCCCAAAUUGGAAAAUCAGGCCCAGGGCUUGGGAGCCUCAUUCAGCCUCUGCCUUUGAGUGUGGUGUUUUCUUUCCAGGCUGUUGACUAUUUCACAAGGUUAAACACAUAUGUAAAGCAAACCACAAUCCCAACCAGUCAUUCUGCCUUGAAUAAGUAUCUGCAGUUUUUUGGAAGAGAUAACAAUGCUGUCUUUGUUUCCUCCUUGCUUCCCUCCCUCCCUACCUCUCUUCUUUCAUUCCCUCUCUCCAAGCAUGUUAGCCAUGCUAGCAACAGCAUUUCAUCCCACAAACAAUCAGGGAAAUGGGGCCGAGCACGUGGGUAGGGUGGCAGGAAGGCAGGAGCCAUUCUUAACCAAAAAGGAGGGAGCUAUGUGCUGAGCACAAGGUGCCACCGUCCCCACUGCUCAAGUGUGGUGCACAGAGAUGAAGUGAGAGCUGCUGUGUUGUGGGGCUUUGGGGCAUAUGAGAAUCCUCAUGUGUGUGGAAGCAGAUAGAUAAUAGUGAUACUAACAUGUAUUACUGGAUUAAAUGCCAAAUGGACUUUCAGAGAAUGGAAUUGUAGCAUGAGUAGCAUAAGGAAACAUGCCACAUUGUUUUGAGGGCUCCCUCUCACCCCAUCACCAGCUUCAACCAACACAGCACUGAGCCACCCCAGCACCAGCAGUCACUGGUUGCAUCUCUGCCUAACUCUGCGUAUCUGUUACAUAUAGAGUGGGAGAGAUGUCUUGGUUCUGCUAGCUGCCAGAGACAUAGAGACAUUGUAGGAACAUAGUAGGGAAUAUGGAAUGCUGGUUCCUGUACCUAGAGGCAUACACAGAGUCAGAGCAUCAUAGAACGUCUUUGGGUUGGAAGGGACAUCAAAGCCCAGCUGGUUGCAAGUGGGCAAAGUGCCACCCACCAGAGCAGGCUCUAAAUGGAUUCUGGUCCAUGCCAAGAGCAAAAGGAGGAUCAAACCCCAGCACAGAAGUAUCCCAGACAAAGGAGUUGUUUUUUUUUUUCAUGAGAAUUUAAGCCACAACUUCAGUAAGCCAAGAGCUGUGACUUUGGUCUGAGAUCAAUCCAUCUGUUCCUGAAAGCAGCACCAAUAUUUCAGUGUGUGUCACUGAAAGAGAUUUAUGAAUGUGUGAUGCUCUUUCCUCUGGAGAUGGGGCUGAAGCAUCGGUCAUCACUCCCAGCAUGCUGCAUGGAGCUCGGCCCCAAGGCCCUGCAUUGCUGUGAGCACACUGCCCAUAAAUCCUGCCUGCCCUGCCCCCCCUCCGCCCCUCUUAUCUGAGGCCCAGAUUCCUCCAGUAUCAGCAUUGGCCCAAAGGGAGAGGCCCUGGCUAUAGGCCUGGCAGAUAAAGUGUUGACAGGGAACAUCCAGAGGGGCGUGGUGGACCUCAACACCCUCUGGCAGAGUGCGAACCAAAUGGAGCCAGGGAUUUCCCAACCAGCUGCCUGCCACGAGCCAUGGCCACUGGGGGCAGGACGGGAGUGCAGGGGUCAGCAGAUGCUAUAGCCCAUGGUUGGCCCUUACCUCCCUGCUGGAGACCCUCUGCAGGGACCCUCCUCUGCCUGCCCCUCUGUGAGUGCCCAGUGGAUAGCUGUGCAUCAGCUUUGCUCUGUCACGAGCUGGCUUUCUGUUAAAGCAUUGGACAAGGAGCUUUCCGCUGGAUAAAAGUCAGACUGAGUCACAUUGCAGCUGUUUUCUCCAUGCACACUCUCCAUUUUACACGACAGAAAAAAAAAA